rnacentral:lncRNA from 1 species
AGAGCUGCUGGCUGUGUUUCCCGCCCUCCGCCCACACACACCCACCUUCCUUGGGAGCGCUGCUGUUGCUUCUGUGUUCCUUGCCAGCUGCUCGGUGAGACGUCACGCUGAUAUCAGACGGAGGAGGGAGAGCAAGUCCGAGACUGCUCAAGUGGUAACCAAGAAGAUUCUUGAAGAAAUCCUGCCUCGGUUCGGGAUCCCUAAGGUAAUCGGCUCAGACAAUGGGCCCGCAUUUGUUGCCCAGGCCCUAGAGGUUGUUAAAACACAGAUCUGCAACCAGAUCAGAGAAGCCUACACUCCGGGAACCAUAGCAGUGCCUCACGGGUUCCAGGUUGGAGACUCAGUCUUGGUCAGACGACAUCGCACUGGCACGCUUGAGCCCCGGUGGAAAGGACCGUAUCUGGUGCUGUUGACCACCCCCACGGCAGUAAAAGUAGACGGGAUCGCUGCUUGGAUCCAUGCCUCCCACGUCAAAAAGGCACCCAGCCAAGAUGAAGACAACUGGAUGGUGGCAGCCACUGACAAUCCUCUUAAGCUUCGCUUGGGUCACAGGAGUCACCCUGGGCCUAAAGAACCACAACCCACACCAGCCUCUGACUCUAACUUGGCAAGUUCUCGGUCCUGAUUCGGAUCAGGUCUUGUUUACCACCUCCAAAACAGCGCCGCCAGGGACAUGGUGGCCAGACCUAGCCUUCUGCCUCAAACAGAUAAUUCCAGCUGCUAGAAGCACUCCCCCUAAUCUAGUAAGAAGCUAUGGAUUCUACUGCUGCCCAGAGCACAGCAAGUGGUCCUUAUGCGGAGGGUCAGCCUCCUAUUAUUGUGGCCAAUGGAAUUGUGUUACUUCCAACGAUGGUGAUUGGAAAUGGGCUAGUGGUCAUGUUCCUGACAGGGCUGAGUUCUCUUUUCAGAACUCAGGGCCUGGAAAGCACACCGUAAUGGAACUGUAUAAAAGGGCUGACUGUCGCCCCGAUGAUUUAGACAGAGUACUGAUCAAAUUUACAGACACAGGAAAAAAAUAUGACAUCAAGGCAUGGAUAAGGGGCAUGCGGUGGGGAUUAGUUUUUUAUGACUAUAGUGGAAAGCCUGGGUCAUCAGUCAUGGUUCGUUUGAGCCUCAGUAGCCCCCGACCCAACCAGUAGGACCUAACCCUGUUCUAGUUGAAAAGCCUUCGUUACUGCUUCCCAGGCCUACCAUCCCUGGGUCUCCAUCAGACUAUCCGACCAAGGCUCACACUCCUUCCUUGGAUCGGGUUCCAACCACUCCCAUGCCCCCAGAUACCAAGAAUCGCCUAUUUAGCCUAAUACAAGGGGCAUUCCUGGUCCUCAAUCGUACUGAUCCCAACAUUACUCGGUCUUGCUGGCUGUGCUAUGCCUCUAGCCCCCCUUAUUAUGAGGGAAUUGCUCAGAUGAGGAUUUAUAAUAAAACUUCAGACCCCUCUCAAUGCCCUUGGGGGGAAAACAGAAAGUUGACUCUGGCAGCAAUCUCAGGAAGUGGACUUUGUUUAGGCCGGGUACCUCAUGACAGACGGCACCUCUGUAAUCAGACCCAGCACGUACAGCCUAGCGAAGGUGGUCAGUAUCUAGUCGUCCCCCCCCCCCAUAGACACAGUAUGGGCUUGCAACACAGGUCUCCUUGUGUGUCUACUUCUGUUUUUAAUGGUUCCAAAGAUUUCUGCAUUCUGGUUCAACUUGUUCCUAGACUCCUAUACCAUGAUGAUAGCUCCUUUGUAGAUGAAUUUGAUCACCGGGUCCGCUGGAAGAGAGAACCCAUCACCUUAACCUUAGCAGUACUUUUAGGACUAGGAAUAGCGGCCGGAGUAGGUACAGGUACCGCUGCCUUGAUUCAGACCCCCCAGUAUUAUGAAGAAUUACGUACAGCUAUGGAUACUGAUCUAGGAGCUAUAGAACAGUCUAUAACCAAAUUAGAAGAAUCUUUAACUUCCCUGUCAGAAGUAGUGCUGCAGAAUAGGAAGGGACUAGACUUAUUAUUCCUCAAAGAAGGAGGACUCUGUGCAGCCCUAAAAGAAGAAUGUUGUUUUUAUGUUGAUCAUUCAGGAGUGAUCAGGGAUUCUAUGGCCAAGCUCAGGGAAUGCUUAGAUAUACGUAAAAAAGAGAGAGGAGAGGCAGGGAUGGUUUGAAAGUUGAUUUAUUAAGUCUCCAUGGUUUACCACCCUUCUCUCUACCCUAGCUGGGCCUUUAAUAAUUCUUAUGCUCUUACUUAUUUCGGGCCAUGUAUUCUCAAUACAACGCCCCAGGUGUGUUGCUUAAUGUAGCACAUGACCUAACUGUUGAGUAAAUUUAUGGUUUUGGCCUUCCCCUAUUUCCUCCCCAAUCCUUCCCCCUUUUUUGUGGUUUUUGCCUUUAUAAGCCUUAAGAGAGUUUCGGUCGGGGGUCGAACUCCUCUACCCCUGCCUGGUGGUGUGUGAGUCUCGACCCCAGCAUGCUGGCCUGAGCUCUCGUUCCGUCUCGCUUUCCAUAAAACUUCCUCGUGUGGUUACAGCAAGUCCAGUCUCAGUGUCUCGCUGGGUGCUCGCCUUCCCAAGACUUGAGUGAGGGUCUCCCUUUGGGGGUCUUUCAUUAUCACUUGGAAAGUCCCUUCAGAAAUGGUUACUGAACUUCAUGCUCCAAAUGUCUAGAAUGAGUUCUGUUGCCUGGAUUGAAUUUAAAAGAUUUAGAUGUUACCCCAGGGGAAGCCAGCCUUCCCGACAUAGGACAGAUGACUGUUUACUACUAAAGAAAAGCCAGCCAUGAACUUUAUAUUUAAAGCGAAAGUAUAGUCUCAACAGUUUAAAAUGAUGGUGGGGAGAGGGUACAGGUCAGUUAGGAAUGGCCCCCCUUUUAGAGACAUCCAUUUGCACCCCCUGGACCACCUAAUGGUGUCCUAGGGAUGGCUAUUUUGAACCCUAGAAAGGAAUUGCAGGAUAAAAUCUCAGCCCUAAAAC